rnacentral:rRNA from 1 species
CCCUUAGAUGUUCUGGGCCGCACGCGUGCUACACUGAGUAAUUCAAUGGGUAAGGGAAUGCUAGAGCAUUACCUAAUCUUGAAAUUUGCUCGUGAUGGGGAUCGACGGUUGCAAUUUUCCGUCGUGAACGAGGAAUACCUUGUAGGCGCAUGUCAUCAUCAUGCGCCGAAUACGUCCCUGCCCUUUGUACACACCGCCCGUCGCUCCUACCGAUUGAGUGAUCCGGUGAGGCUCUGGGACCUGGACGGAAAGAGCGUUUCGCUUGUUCUGUUUGGGAAACUUGGUCGAACCUUAUCAUUUAGAGGAAGGAGAAGUCGUAACA